UACAGAGGGUGCGAGCGUUAAUCGGAAUUACUGGGCGUAAAGCGUGCGUAGACGGCUAUCUAAGUCGGGUGUGAAAGCCCCGGGCUCAACCUGGGAAUUGCAUUCGAGACUGAAUAGCUAGGGUACGGUAGAGGGAAGUGGAAUUUCCGGUGUAGCGGUGAAAUGCAUAGAUAUCGGAAGGAACAUCAGUGGCGAAAGCGACUUCCUGGACCAGUACCGACGUUCAGGCACGAAAGCGUGGGGAGCAAACAGG
rnacentral:rRNA from 1 species